rnacentral:lncRNA from 1 species
GCUGGGAGGCUUGUGUUGGUUGGGAGGCUGGUUGGGAGGCUUGUGGUGGCUGGGAGGCUGGUUGGGAAGCUUGUGGUGGCUGGGAGGCUGGUUGGGAGGAGGUAGACAGAGAGGUAGUUGGAUGGAAGAAUGUAGUCUGAGAGGCUAAAGUACAUUGGCUACUUGCUCCUGCUAAUAUUUGUGAUGGAAUAGCCAUCUUCAUGAAAAUAAGCAUUGAAAGUAAGUAUUUAAAUAUAAUAAAAACCUAGUAAAUUACAUCUCAAGAAUAAUAAAUGAGCAUUUCAAACCUGUGAUCUAUCUCUUUUUCUACUAAUUCUGCUCCCACUCUAACUGCAACCAAUGUUUUGAUCUUUUUGCUUUGGCCUAUCC